GACUCAGCAAAAGCCUGGCUGACGGCUCAGCAGUGAACUCCGACGUGCCCGGGAGGGUCUGCGUGUCCCUCUACCCAGCCCCCGCCUGGCCCCACUCGGGCUGCUCUGACUGGGGCCCUCAAGCAACUACCACCACAACUACCACCAGGAGGCUGGAGGUCCAAGAUCAGGGCACCGGGUUUGGUGAGAACAGCCUGCCUGACCAGGAGAAAGAGGAAAAAAUGGAGACGAUGCGACCGCCUCCCCACACAGUCCGCCGAUUUCUAAAGACCUUCGCCAGCAAAACGCCACUGGGCGCCCCCACCCCUUAGCCGGCGAGCGGGAUUUCAACUACGGCCCAGGAUACACCGUCAACAGCAGGUCAGAGGAGCGUUCGGGGGAGCGGGGAGAGGGCGGUCCCCCCGUGCUCAGGCGGCAGCAAGGAAACGUCUCCUCCCAAACCUAAGUCCACAAAGCACCGGGGCCGCUGUGACCUGAUGCUGCAGUCUUGCGCUGUCAGCAGCGGCGCACCUCACACUCCCCACCCCGAGCGCACACACACCAGUGCACAUCUCACAAGCACAGCCACGGACAGCUUUGCUCCAGGCCACCUGUGCAAGGCCACUUGUUUAGCAAGAGGCUUGACAGGGACAGUGCCCGCACCCCCCGCCCGCGCCGCCAGGCGUAGGGCAAGGUGGGCUGUCCUUGGGGGUAAGAUCGGGCACAUUUGCCUGCAGCCCAUGGAAAAGAUCCAGGUUCCCGGGGCUCCCCGUGCCGCCGACGCGGCGCAUGCGCAGCACCUACCUGGACCGCGUGCCGGGAAGGGGGAGGCGGCAAGGGGGUCCCUGCAGCUCCGGCUGCGCGGUGGCCGAGAAAGCCCUCCGGCUCGGGUCGGGGCUCUCGUGUCUGCCAGCGUCCUCCGAACCGAGGCCUCCCACAGCUCCGGGCACAGGCUGCCCGAGAGGGCUCGGCGGUUCCGGGCGUCGCACCCCGUGCGGGUCACUGGCAGAGAGGAAGGUGGGCCAUCUUCCGGGGGAACCUCCCUGGAGCGCCAGAGAAUGUUCGCAGGGGUCUACCCGCGACCGGGUCACGCAAGCGGGGCAAGGACGCCGCGUGCGCAGCCGGCGGUGUCCACCCGGAGGGCCGGCGAAGCCGCAGCUCGUCCUCGCGGAAGCCUCCGGGCUGGUCCUGCCGUCUCACCCUCGCCACGCGGCCUCGGCAGGGAGACCUCAGUCUAGACGAGGCCCCGCGGCAGCCUCGGAAGGUUCCGGAGCGGGCCGGGGGCAGCACUGGGGCGGACACCGCCACGCCACCUCCGCUCGCUGGUGACAGAAGGGUCCUGCUGGGGCCUGUCCUUGGCGAACGGGGGCUGCAGGCCCCUGGCGGCCCCACGCGGCCUCUGCGGGGCUCCUGGAGGGGCGUGCUCAGCGCUGGUUCCCCGACUCCCCUACUCCGCCUCCUGUCUUCAGCUGUCGCCGCCUGGUGGCCCUAGGGCCCGCCGCCUUGCCCGGGCACCACCGGGACGUCCUCGUCAGGAGGGUGAAGCCCGGCGGCCCUGGCGCUGGCCCAGGUUCUGGACCCACGCUCGCUCCCGAGGCCCCUCCGCACUAAGCAACGUGCGGAGGAAGGAGUCAGGGUAAGGGGAGGGGGCGGCUGAGGAACCAGGCCAGGGGGCCCGUCUCACCAGGUCCCACCCUGGCUCCGGCCGGAGGCCUCACCAGCUGCCGCACUUCGGGAGGUUGGCCUGUCAGCCAAUGGCCGCCAGCCCACUUCCGGUUGGCAUAGGCUCCGCCCCCCCCACCUGAGGUGAUUGACACUUGUUAGGCCCAAUGAGCAUCAGGUCCCAUGCACUUGGAGGCACUGCGCCUGCGCAGGAGCAGUCUUCGCACCCUGCCUGAAGUUGCUGCGCAGGUGGCGUGACGUCCAGAGCCGGUAGUGAUGCUGCUUCAGACCCGCCUCCGGGAUGGGCUCCCUUGUCUAGCGGAACCUCCUCCUUCCGCGCGCCCCUGAAUGGUGGUGGGAGGAAGGCCUGCAGGCAGGCUGGGGCGGGCAGGACAGUGAGGUCUACCUGGAGCUGUGGGAGGGUGGGCCGAGGGAGCCUUGGCACAGAUGACCUGGAGAACUGGAGACCCGGAUCCUGCCCCACGCCGUUAACCAGGGCCUGGGCAGCCUUCUGACAGCUGACGGGGGGACCACGGAGGCCUGUGGCCUGGCUUUCAGCUGGAGGAACACGCGAUGUGCCCCACGCUUCAGCGACUGCCUCCACAGGGUUAUGGCCAUUCUGCCUGCGGCUCCGAAGCUGCCUUUUUCCACUGGAUCUGUCGGCCUGCAGCCUCCCUCAGCGGCCCAGAGCAUCGGAAGCCUCUAGAAGGGUGAGGCCUCUUGGCGCCGUGUGCCCAGGGAAAGGCCCAGAUGGGCCAUGCUUGUUCAUGUGCCCCCCUGCCGUCUCUCCUCCCCCACGGGAGCCUCUGAAAUCGAAUCUCGCUGCUCUCCUCUCAAAAUGCUCCUGGGCCCCCUCAUUGCUCUAAGAAAGUCCAGUCCUCGCCAGGGCCCCCUGCACCACGUGCCUGGCUGCAGUGGGUGGAACCACGGGGCUGGCUGUCCUAGGGACUCUUCAGGGGAAGUGAGGUGUCUCUUCCUGGGCAUGGCUCUCCCUCCCUCCCUGAUGGCCACUUCUGGGUCCCAAAUGGCACAGCUCCCCUCUCCCUCCUCUCUUCGACCCCUCCCCGUCAGCCCAGUCACUCCUCUGGUCUCUCCUAGGAAAGGAGAAAGAAACCCCCAGGUCUUGGUGGUAAAGGUGGCGCUGUCUCGAUUAAGCCAGGGCCUGGUCCGCCCAGCCCACAGGAGGGUCAUGUUCCCCACACUUCCUCUCCCUUUGGUGGGCUGGGCCGAGCUCUGGAUGGUGGGACGGGGUGCAGACCUGGUGCCUGAAACCUCGUGCUGGAGACAGUCACAUCUCAUGAUGCAGCCUGUUGCCAGGCCCUGCCCAAUCUCUGAGAGGUCAGCUAGCUGCAAGAGAGGCCAGUUAGGUCUCAGGGUUGAGGCUCUCCAGGUACAGAGGGUGGAAUGCAGGUGAGAGCAGGUCUAAAAUACCUGCCUGGGAGUUCCCAUCAUGACUCAGUGGUUAACGAAUCUGACUAGGAACCAGGAGGUUAUGGGUUUGAUCCCUGACCUUGCUCAGCGGGUUAAGGAUCUUGCGUUGCCAUGAGCUGUGGUGUAGGUUGCAGACUUGGCUUGGACCCUGCGUUGCUGUGGCUGUGGCUGUGGCGUAGGCUGGCGGCUACAGCUCUGAUUAGACCCCUAGCCUGGGAACCUCCAUAUGCCGUGGGAGCGGCCCUAGAAAAGGCAAAAAGAAAAAAAAAAAAAAAAAA
rnacentral:lncRNA from 1 species